rnacentral:rRNA from 1 species
UACGUAGGGGCCGAGCGUUGUCCGGAGUUAUUGGGCGUAAAGCGCGCGCAGGCGGCCUCGCGCGCCCGACGUGAAAGCCCCCGGCUUAACCGGGGAGGGUCGUUGGGGACGGCGGGGCUUGAGGGCGGGAGAGGUCGGUGGAAUUCCCGGUGUAGUGGUGAAAUGCGCAGAUAUCAGGAAGAACACCCGUGGCGAAAGCGGCUCUCUGGAACGGUACUGACGCUGAGACGCGAAAGCGUGGGGAGCGAACAGG